GAGAAACACCCACGGAGGCCGCCGCGCUACAGCGCCUCUUAGCGGCCCUUCGGGUAGAUGUGCGAGGAGGCCGCACGCAGCUACCUAACUAACGCUUGCUCUGGGCUAGCGAUCCCCGCGUUAAGUCUGGACUCCGGACGUCGGGACCAAACUCGUUAGACCCGGAAUCCAUCUAUUCUACGCCGUGUCUCCGGAAAUUGGAUGGAAGGUGUCGGGAGAACCCCGAAGGGCGAAGGGCGGUGAUUCCCGAGCCCGUCAGGCAGCGUGCAUUUAUUAAGCGCUUACAGUGUUCCAGGCGCGGUACUAAACACCAGGGACACAGAGAAAUCAAAACCGGCCCCUGGCCUCAAGGAACUUGUAUCCCAACGGGGGAGACACACACGAAAGCCGCAGACACGUGGGCUGUAUAAGUGGGGCGCGUGGAAAGUCGUCUCCGAGGCAAAGGCACUCCCGGGGGCAGACAAUAGUUCCAGGAACUGAAGGACGCGAGUAACUAAGAGGCGGGGGAGAAGGGACAUCCCCGGCGCAGGAGGACGACGUCUGAGCACAGAGCCGCGACCCAGAGAGCCGCAGGUUUGGAAAACCAAAUUCAAGAGAUUGUAUUAAAUUGGAUGAAGUAUUGUAAAUUAGCAGAUUAUCUACGAAUGAACCAGAGAAGCAGAGACUCCUUCAUAGCUGUCCUGAUUCCAGAAUGUCUGAGAAGCUAGCCAGGGACCAGCUGACUAUAUGAGACAUCUGUGACUCAAAAUGUGAUGAUAUAAUGGACAUUGGGAAUGAGUUACUAGGAUACAAAGAGACUUGCUGUCAGUUAAUAUUGAUGAUCAUUAUUGUAUUGCUUUGCCCUUUUGUCGGAUGGUGUUUAUGUUUAAGUUUUCUUGGUUACCUCGGUGACAUGCAAAUUUCCCUUUUCAACAUUAGUCUACAUGAAUCCUUUAAAUAGUUUGAUCUAUAGCUAACAUGUAAUUCUGACCAUGAAUAUAUGAAAAUAUUGUAUAAA